CGAGCGGUAGAAGAUCUUCGGAUCUUUGAGAGCGGCGCACGGGUGCGGAACACGUGUGCAACCUGCCUUUAUCAGGGGGAUAGCCUUUCGAAAGGAAGAUUAAUACCCCAUAAUAUAAUGACUGGCAUCAGUUAUUAUUGAAAACUCCGGUGGAUAGAGAUGGGCACGCGCAAGAUUAGAUAGUUGGUGAGGUAACGGCUCACCAAGUCUGCGAUCUUUAGGGGGCCUGAGAGGGUGAUCCCCCACACUGGUACUGAGACACGGACCAGACUCCUACGGGAGGCAGCAGUGAGGAAUAUUGGACAAUGGGUGAGAGCCUGAUCCAGCCAUCCCGCGUGAAGGACGACGGCCCUAUGGGUUGUAAACUUCUUUUGUAUAGGGAUAAACCUACUCUCGUGAGAGUAGCUGAAGGUACUAUACGAAUAAGCACCGGCUAACUCCGUGCCAGCAGCCGCGGUAAUACGGAGGGUGCAAGCGUUAUCCGGAUUUAUUGGGUUUAAAGGGUCCGUAGGCUGAUUUGUAAGUCAGUGGUGAAAUCUCACAGCUCAACUGUGAAACUGCCAUUGAUACUGCAAGUCUUGAGUGUUGUUGAAGUAGCUGGAAUAAGUAGUGUAGCGGUGAAAUGCAUAGAUAUUACUUAGAACACCAAUUGCGAAGGCAGGUUACUAAGCAACAACUGACGCUGAUGGACGAAAGCGUGGGGAGCGAACAGGAUUAGAUACCCUGGUAGUCCACGCCGUAAACGAUGCUAACUCGUUUUUGGGUUUUCGGAUUCAGAGACUAAGCGAAAGUGAUAAGUUAGCCACCUGGGGAGUACGUUCGCAAGAAUGAAACUCAAAGGAAUUGACGGGGGCCCGCACAAGCGGUGGAUUAUGUGGUUUAAUUCGAUGAUACGCGAGG
rnacentral:rRNA from 1 species